GAUGAAGAACGUAGCGAAAUGCGAUACUUGGUGUGAAUUGCAGAAUCCCGCGAAUCAUCGAGUUUUUGAACGCAAGUUGCGCCCGAAGCCAUUCGGCCGAGGGCACGUCUGCCUGGGUGUCACGCAUCGUUGCCCCCCCAAACUCCGGUUCGGGCGGGGCGGAAGUUGGCCUCCCGUGCGUGCCUGCGCGCGCGGUUAGCCCAAAAGCGAGCCCUCGGCGACGAGCGCCACGACAAUCGGUGGUUUUUUUACCCUCGUUCCUCGUCGUGCGUGCCCCGUCGCCCGAACGCGCUCUUGCGACCCUCACGCGUCGCCUCGGCGGCGCUCCCAACGCGACCCCAGGUCAGGCGGGACUACCCGCUGAGUUUAAGCAUAUCAAUAAGCGGAGGA
rnacentral:misc_RNA from 1 species